AUUUGCAUGAUGAGUUAAAUUGUCGGAUACUCUUCACCUCUUUUAUGAGUGAGAUAUAACAGUCUGACAAAA
ensembl:snoRNA